UUAUAAAUUGUGAUUGAAUGAUUAAAUAGAGCAAAGUGAACAGGUAUACAUGCUAUAUUAUAUGAAUUGUUUAUGAGACGACUUUAUUAUGGUGAUAUUUGGCUUUGAGCCUAGCAAGCUUUAAGCUGGUGAAUAAUGUUAUCGGGUUUAAAACCUAGCAGGCUAAAUGCUGGUGAUUUGAUAAAAGUCUAAGACUAUGAGACCUUGUGUUAAAUCGGCAAUUGAAUUUGUUCAAUGCAUUAAGUUGGCUAGGUAUGUGAUAUAUUCUUAUGCAUGUUAGAUCGAUUGGAAUUGAAUCAUGAAUGUGAAAUGAGAAGCAUAGGGGAAAUGCCUAUGUCAUAUAUGUGAGUAAGGGCAAAACCAUCGUAAAUUAUCGAUAAGGGUGGACUAUGUGCGGAAUCAUCUUAUAAUUGCUAAUUUGAGCGGUUGUGUGUGAAUCAUUGAGCAUGAUGUAUUGUAUUGAGAUUAUGCUUGAGUGAAAUUAUAGAUAUGUGAUGAAAUUGAUCGGUAAUAUACAUGUUUAAAUAAUGUGAAUGCAAAGGAUGUGUGAAAGAGUAAAUUUGUAAUAAAUCUGCUUCAGACAGCAGCAGUAACGUGAUUUUGGAAAAUCACCAUAAAUUGUUGGAGUUGAGUUAGAAGCUGAAUAAAUUUAAUGAGUCUAGUUUCUUAUAAAAGAAACCGUGUAAGCAAAAGAAUUGCUGAUAAUGAGAUAUUUGAAGUGGCGUGGGAUAGAGUCAAAUGACUUCGGGGUCCCCUGUUCUGUUUUUAGAAAAUCAUUAUAAUUUGUACAAAAAUGGUUAUAGGAUAAAAUUUAUAUGCUUAGACUCCUUAAUGAGUCUAGUUUCAAAUGAAAUCAAAUAGAACAUAUUUUGAAUUUUGUAAAAUGAGAAAUUUGAUUCGUAGUGAAGAGUGGUCAGAUUAUUCAAACAGUGAAACAGGGGAAACUUUAAGAAAAAUCUGGUAUUGAUUGGCCAAACCUAAAAUUCUGAAAAUUUUAUGGAUGGAAUAUAUAUGAGUCUAUUUUCAGGGAAAAUUAACGGCAAUUGAUUUGGAGUUUUGUAGCUCCAGUUUUAAAUAAUUUAGUGACUACUGCUCAGGAAGACAACUUGUAGUGAAUUUGUGAUUAUGUUGUAAACAUUGAUAAAACUUGUUAAUGAGUUGCUUAUUGUUUUCUUAUGAACUUACUAAGCGUAAAUCUUACUCCCCUUUUCUUUCCCAUAUUCCCUAGGGUUACCAGGUUAGCUCAGGUUGGAGGCCGUCAGAGAUAUUAUCACAUUGUCAAGUCUAUGCUAUCGGCGUAAGUAAAUCUUAGUGUUUCGAGUCUAUGGCAUGUAUAGGGUUGUAAAGUUGAGUAAGUAAAUGAUACAAGACUAAGAUAUUGGUAAAUAUUUAAUAAUGCCUCAUGAAUAUUUUGGGCCUUGUAAGCCCGAUUAAAGGAUAAUAUACGUGUGUAUGAAAAGUUUAAAAUUGAUCAAAAAUUUUUACAGUCUGGUUUUAUAUAAAUGGAUGAGUUUAAAUCUGGUAGCACCUCGAACCCUGUUCUAGCAAGGGAUACGGGCGAAGGGUGUUACAUUUUAUUGGUAUCAGAGCCAUGGUUUAGUCGGCUCUAGGACUACCAUGGCGUAUGUGAGUCUAGCUGUACAUGCCAUAUUUGACCUGCGAUAGUGUGAUAUCUCCUGACUCUGACUAAAAUUAUUUGAAUAGGACAGAUAAGUCUUUCAAUCAAGCUAAUUUUAAUAUUAUAGAAUAUGUACUCAGAUGUUUGAAUGAAAUUGUGUUCUAUACUGAUUUGAUUAAAUUAAAGUUGGCUCUGAAAUGUUUAAGUGUUCAUGAAUAUAUGAAUCCAAAGUUAAAUGAAAUGAUAUGUUCAAAGUGCACAUAUGUGAUGUUUUAUAGACUUGGUUAAGUCACUUUAAUGUGCAACAACAAGUGAACAUAGGCACUGUGUGUGUGAGUUCCGUAACCGAGCACUGUGUGUGCGAGAUCGGUUGUUGAGGCACUGUGUGUGUGAGUUCCGUAACCAAGCACUGUGUGUGCGAGAUCGGUUGUUGAGGCACUGUGUGUGCGAGUUUCGUAACCGAGCACUGUGUGUGCGAGAUCGGUUGUUGAGGCACUGUGUGUGCGAGUUUCGUAACCGAGCACUGUGUGUGCAAGAUCGGUUGUUGGGGCACUAAGUGUGUGAAAUGAGAUCAUGUAAGACCUCGUUCGAGACGAAGGCAUUGAUUUGAAUGUGUUUCUAAAUAAAAAGGACUUAUGUGAGAAGCUUUGAAUAUAUGUGUGGCUUAUUUUAAGUGAUUAAUUAUUGAAUGAUGCAAAUAAGUGGGUUUGCAUGUCAAAUUGCCACUUUUAAUGUUAGUGGCCGGCCAUGAUGGUUUUGGUGAGCAAAAUAAGCAUGUUUUAUAUGUAUAAUAAUGAAUUGAUAUUUUUUUUAAGUAGUUUAUUGAUAUAUUUAUUAUUAUAUAGUUAUUGAUAAAAAUAAAAUAAGAAUGGGGGGAAGAAAACAAGAACUCAUCUUUGUUUCUUCACCUAGCCGAAUUUCAUAAAAAGAAGAAGAGUGAAGGAUGGUUUUGGGGGACCAUUCGGUCAAUUGGAGGCAAAUUUGAAGGUAAUUUGAUGUGGUUUUCUAAAUUGUUGAUGAAUUUGUGUUUCUUUUUUUCUUUUCUAACGAAACCCACUUGAUAAAUUUAAUUUUUAUGAGGCAUUUUAGAUUCGGCCUUAGUGAAAAUGAGUGAGGAAAUUUGAGUUGAGGAUAGAAAAUAGUAAACGAAUGUUCAAUGGACAAUUUGAUACCAAAAUUCAUAUGUUUAUGAGCUUGUUUUUGAAAAGUAUGUUACAUGUGAGUGAUUAGUUCAUGAAGGGAUUUUCGGUUAUGUUGUUUUGUAUGAGUAAUGGAUUGUUGAGUUCAUGCUAUUAUGAAUAAAACUGAUUAAGAGAGGCUUGAGAUAAUUAAAUAUGCAUGUUGGUGGUAAGAUGAGCAUUCAGUUUUUAUCAUGGAAGCAUAGGGAGCUUGUUAAAAGUUGAAUUUUAGAAAAGUUAAAUGUGUGUGUGCUUGUGCUAGUGCCGAAUGUGCCUAGGGUGAUUUAGCAUUGAGUUUGGUGUUAUAUGAAUUGAGUUUUAUGGUUUUGGAUUUUUAAGUGUUGUUAAAUACUUUGAAUAAUAUAUAUAAGUGGCUUUGAUAUGUGAAAUUCGGCCAAGUGGUUAUAAGCAUGAUUUUAGAAAUUCAAUGAUAUUCGGCCAAUUUGAAUAAUUCAUGGCACCCCAAGCAAAUUAGUUUUAGAUGUUAAUAAAUAUUGAAAUUAUUUAAGCAUAUUACCGAAUGUGAUUUUAGUUAAUGAUUCGGUUAUGAGUGCUGAUUUGUUUUAUAAUUAGCCGAAUGUGUAUAUGUAUACUAUGAGGUGGUUUAGCUUAAAGAAAAUUAAGGUGCUCGGAAGGUGAUUGUCAUGGAUAGUUUAAGUAAUGAAAUUUAAUUUCUGUUAUGAAAGUGAUGACAUUGCUGUUUGCAAAUUUGAAGUUAAAAAUUGUUGAUUGAGCAUCAAGAGCUUAUGGGGACAAACUCGGAUCGAGGAAAAAAAAACGAAGGUAGUCGUGUAGUCGAUAGAGCCGUACGAUAACUUUUGAGGUAAGCUCUUAAACGAUUAAGUUGAAUUUAUGUGUGUAAAGAUUAAAUGAAUAUAGAAUAAAGUUUUAGUAUAUGUGAUAUAUAAAUAUAUAUACUUUCGAAUGAUUAGUAAUGUUCAUAAUAUGAGCCGAAAAUGGCUAACUUACUCGAUUGAAUUGUGCAUGGAAAUGAGGUAUAUGCUAAAAGAGUUUUAGAGAAUGAUAUAUGAUCUCUGUGUUUCGGUUAAGUAAUGGUAAAUAGAAUGAGUAUGAAUUUAGUGAGGACUUUGUGUGAUAGCCAAAUGUCUUAUGAACUAAUAUGUGUGAAUGGUAUUUUGAAUACAUAAGAUGGAAUAACUGAAAGUAUCAUGAGUUAAGACUCGAAUAAAUUACUAUGAAUUUCUUGUAAAUGCCGAAUAGUGAUUACAUUUGGCUAUGAAAUUAUGCUUCAAAUUCUUGAAUGUAUUUGAAAUCAAUAUAAGGAAAUGGUAUUUUAAUAAAUUAUGUGAUGAAAUUACCGAAUGAAUUCUGAGAUGAAUUGUGGAUUAAUGUUAACAAGUAAGUGAAACUACUAAUGUGAUUAGGAAAUUGAAGAAGGGAAAUUUAGAUCUUAGUAAGUUCUUAAGUGUUUGAACUUUUGGAAAUUUAAGAGUAAAUUGUAAUAGAUCUGCUUGGGACAGCAGCAAUAGCGUGAUUUUAGAAAAUCACCAUAAAUUGUUGGAGUUGAGUUAGAGGCUAAAAAAAAUUAUGUAAUUAAAGCUUAAUGACUCUAGUUUCAAAUGAAAUCAACGAGAACAUAUUUUGAACUCUUUACAAUGAGAAAUUUGAUUCGAAGUGAAGAGUGGUCAGAUUAGUCAAACAGUGAAACAGGGGAAACUUUAAGAAAAAUCUGGUAUUGAUUGGCCAAACCAAAAAUUCUGAAAAUUUUAUGGAUGAAAGAUAUAUGAGUCUAUUUUCAGGGAAAAUUUACGGCACUUGAUUUGGAGUUUCGUAGCUCCAGUUACAAAUAAUUUAAUGACUGUUGCUCAGGAAGACAGCUUGUAGUGAAUUUGUGAUUAUGUUGUAAACAUUGAUAAAACUGUUUGAGUUGCUUAUAAGAUAUUGAUUAAAACCAUAUGUGAAUUUUGAAUUGUGACGUUAGGAAAUGAUAUAUAAGUGAUUUUGAUAUGAUGAAAUUGAUGUACAAGAUAUGUAUAUGUGGUGAGGCCGAAAUGGCUAAUAUUAAAUGUGUGCAAGUUAUCUGAAGGGCCUUUAUGAAAAUGUGUGCUAUCUUAUUUGUAUAGUGAGGCUGAAUGGUUACUUAGAAAUGUAAUAUGGCUGAGUGGUUAUUUAAAUGAAAGCAAAGUAUAUGAUAUAUUAGCAAGUAAUGAUAAAGCAUUAUCUUAUAUAUGUGCUUGUGUAUGUGGUGCAACUGAAUGGGCAAGUGUGAAAUGUACAUAUGUUUAUGUGUAUAUAAUGGGGCCGAAUGACCAAUUGUGAAAAGUGGGUACUAUUAGAUAUUUGAUGAGGCCAAAGAUAGUAAAAAGUAUAUAAAAUAAAUUGUGCUGAGAUUGUAUCCGGGCUUAAAGACCCGCAGGCUAUAUGCUGGAAUUAUAUCCGGGUUAAAUCCCGCAGGCUUUGUGCUAGUAAUAUAUCCGGGUUAAAUCCCGCAGGCUUCGUGCUGGUAUUAUAUCCGGGUUAAAUCCCGCAGGCCUAGUGCUAGUAUUAUAUCUGAGUUUAAAGUCCCAUACGCUUCGUGCUAGUGUUAUGUUUGGGUUUUAUACCUCGCAGGCCAAGUGUUAGUGAAAUUGAUAAAGUAUAUGACUACGAGAUCCUAUGCUAAGAUGAUAAAUUGAACUCGUAUUACACAUUAAGUGAUUCAGGUAUGUGAUAUAUAUAUUAUAUGUGAGAUUGAUCUGACAGGAAUUAAGAAUGUGUAAUGAGAAGCAUAUGAAAAGAUGUUGUAAAUUCAUAUGUAUAUUUGUAUAUGUGUGCAUUCAGUUAUUAUGCAAAGUUACAAGAUAGUUUUCGAUAUGCUAUUUAACUAUGAAUGUUGAAAGUAAGUGUGGGUAAGAAAUGAUACACUAGUGAAAUUUGAAAGAAUUAAAGUUAAUCCGGAAGCUUGUAAAUACUAUGUUUAUAUGAGUUUGAGUAUAAACGGAGUAAAAUGAUAUGUGUUUGUGCAUAAUCAGCCAAAUAGUAUUGUACUCAGAAAGUGUUAUGUGAUUUCGAACAUUUGGUUUGUUUUUAAGUUCAACUGUUUAAAUUGCUUAAGACUUACUAAGCUUAUGAAAGCUUACUUUGAAUGUUAUGUUUCUCUGUUUAUUUUUGUAGAUCGUUGACUCUUACUAUUAGCUCGGGGAUCGUCAGCACUUCGUCACACUAUCUACUAUUGUAGUAAUCAUGUGAUUUGGACUUAGUUUAUGCCAUGUAUAGGAUAGACUAUAAAUAGAAUGAUAUUUUGACUAUUGUAUAUAAGCCAUGCGACAUCUUAUGGAAGUUUACUUUUAUAAGUUUUAACUUCGAUCUUUGUUUGUGUCUAUUAGUUAUAUAAAUAAAUGAUCUUUUAUUUAAGAAAAGGUUCAAAAUUUUACUAUUUUGAUCUGAUUCCUAAUUUCUGGUAACGUCUCGUCCUAUUCCGGCGACGGUUACGGGAUAGGGGUGUUACACUUAUGAUUCUAUGUGGUUAUCUGUGAAAAAUAUCUAUUGAAUGACUGUAACUAUAUUUCAAUUUCUCUUAUGUUCAAAAUGCAUUAUUGAUAAUUGGGACAUUAUAUAUCUAUACGGUUGAGAUGUCAGCCUUAUUAUGGCACUAUGAUUUUAAAUUAUCUGAUGGUUGUGGCUUCAGUAUGGUUCAAAGCUUCGUUGAUUAAUAAUUGAAAAGUUAUUACUUGACAGUCGAGAUCGAUUCAGUUGUCUAGUUUGAUUAGAUUAAUUGCUUGAAGGAUUAAUCGAGUUACUUGUAUCUGAAUCUAUCCACAGGGUGGAAAUAAAGUUUGAAUGUUCACGGAUAAAUAGAUGAAUAUUCUAAAUGCAUGAUUCGUAUUCUAGAAGAUAUGAUACAUAAUUAUAUCCAUCAGAACGAUUUUAUUGAGAAAUGUUCUUAUAGAUCGCGAUUGGGAAGUCUGAAUGAUGUGAUAAUUAUCAAUAAAGUGGUAAACAGUUGAAGAAAUUGUUAAUUGAAGCGUCAGUUCUCAGGUGAAGAGUUAUUCGACACAAGAAUUAAAUAUGGUUUGAACUGUUGAAAGAUUAUGAGUCAGCGAUUGAUUAUCAAUCUGGACAAAUGAUUAUAGUCUUUGGGGUUCUGAGCGAGAAUCUUUAUGUGUUUUACGGCUGAUAAUCAUGUGAUUAAUCUUAUCAAAUAAUGAGUAGUUAUUGGCUGAGCUAGAAACUAAAUUGAUGUUUAAUUAGCAAAUUUGUGAGGUUAAGAAGUGUGUCAGUGAAUUACAAGUUAAAAAGGGUACAACGUAAAUUGAUUUCUGAUUUAAAAUUUCAGAUUGGAACCUACAAUUGUUAUUAUGUCGAGAUAGAGUUCAUGUAUUGAGAAAUCCAGAGAUUUUACAACAAUUGUGACAUCUAGCACAGUGGUAAUUAUCUGUCCGUACGGGGAGUACUAAAAGAGUGCUAGUUUUCAUUGUUCAAAUGGAGACACGAGGAUUGUAUCGUGUUACUAAAAUAAACUACUAUGAGCUUUGGGUAUGGUAUUACUUUGUAACACUGUGUUCUAGAACUUGAAAGCAAACGAGAAAGACAUUUAUUGUUGGUUAAGUUAGCAUAUAAUAAUAUUAGUUAUGAGAUGAAUGUUAAGAUAGCAUUGUAUGAGUGUGGUAUGGUUGCAAUUACUGAACUUCGUUGUAUUGAAUUGAAUUUUUAUAAAAAGAAUUUCGAGGUCGAUGUGAUUGGAAAGACUGAAGGGAAAUGAAAGUAAUUCAUGACCGUCUAAAAACAGUUUCAGAUUUGCAGAAAAUAUAUGUGGGCUUGAUGCGUAAAAGCAUUGAAUUUUCAAUUAGAAAAUUGAGUAUUUGUAAAGGUAUUAUAGUAGGAAUAGAAUUUCUAGAUUUAGCUAUAAAGAGAAGUUGAGUUCGCAGUUCAUCGGAUCGAAUGAGAUUAUUAUCAAAACUUGAGAAGACCCGUUAUGUGUUUUUUAUAUAUAUGAUGUGAUGAUACAAAUAAGAUCCUUUAUCUAUAGUAUCUCUUACAGAAGUAGAAACUCAGCUUGUUAUGAUGUAUAGCAAAGAGCAGAUCAUAAUCUUAGCUCAUGAGAUUGAAAAUUUGAGAAAUCUGAGGCUAGGUAAGAAAUUGUUGAGGUUGGAGAAAGAAAAUCACUAAUUUAUUCUCUGGCAAGAUUUUCGGGGACGAAAAUCCCUAAGGGGGGAGAGUUGUAACAGCCUGUUUUUUAGGGUUGAUCGGAACAGUGGUUUUGGGGCCACCAAAUCCGAACGAGUAGGUUGGUAAAUAUUAUAUUUAAUAUUUACGAGUUAAUUGUGAUUUUAAAAAUGUUUUUGAUAUUGUGAUUUUUGUUUUAUAAGCGAUUUAUUAAGUUCAAGUGGUAUGACCCUAAGGUCAACUGGGUUUAGAAAAUAAGGUAUCGGGACCUUGUUUCUAUAAACCGAGUCGUAAAUAUUUUUAUAAAUAUUUACAUAGUGGCAAUAAGAUGGUAUUAAAGUUUCGGUGAAAAAUUUUAUCGUUUCGAUAGUUAAUUAAACAAAAAGGACUAAAUUGUGUAAAGUGCAAAAAUUGUGUUCUAUAACCUAAAGCUAUUAAAUAGAUAUAGAACUUAAAAGUAGAAGUCCUUAUUUGGUAAUUAGCCUAUUAAAGAGAUAGUGGGAUAUGAUGGCUUGGCAUUUGGUGUAAUAAAUAAAGUGUAUAAAGGUUAAUAUUGUAAAUUGGUUAAAAAUAAUAAUAAAAUGAAUAUAAUAAAAGAAUCAAGGUGUCAUCUUUUUCAUUCUCUUUUUACCAGCCGAAUAUGAAGGCUUGAGAAGCCAUGGAAGAAGCUUCCAACUUUCAGCUAAUGCAUGGUAGGCAUUUCUAGUCCCGUUUUUAAUUAUUUUUAUAUUUUCGGGAUCGUUGUUGCUUAAUUUAUCUAAUGAGGGGACUAUUUUGCAAAACCAUUGAGUAGUUUGAUAUUUUCCAUUGAUGAGUAUAAUAGGGCUUUGAAGUUUAAUGGAAGAAUAUGAGUCCUUGUUGAUAGUUAAACACUUUUUGUUAAGUGAAUUUUUGUGAAAUUGACAAUUAAGGGCUAAAUUGAUAAAUGUGAAAACUUUGUGGUUAAAAUGUCAAAUAAAUGAAAUGUGUGGGCUGCUAGAGACACUAGUGAUAUUCGUCUAUAGUAGAAUUUUACUCAAUUUCAUGAAUUUUCAUUUUUAUGAUAUAGGGACUAAAUUGUAAAGAAGUUGAAAUAUUAGGGGCAAAACUAUAAUUUUUCCAUAAAGUGAAUUAUGGACUGUUUUGAUACCAUGAACAUUUGGCUAAGCUUAACUAUGGUUAAAAAUGGUUAAUUUGCAUGUUUUGAGCUCAGGGACUAAAAUGAAUAAAAGUAAAACUUUAGGGGUUAUUUUGUAAAAAUGACAAAAAUGACCAAAUUGUAUGAAAUGAGGUGUUUUAAUGUCUAAAUUAAUAUACUGAAUGAAAUUAUUAAUUUAGAUCAAGGUCGGGUGGAAAAUCGAGCAAAAUGAGAAAAUUACCAAAAUACCCCUGAACUUUGGUAUCUCUACAAUUUAGCCAGGUAAGUUCGUAUGCAAUAAGCAUUGUUAAAUUGAUGUUUCUAAUGCUUUAAUAUUGUAUAAAUUGUAUAUACGUGAAUAUUUUAAUAUCUGACGACAUAUCGACAAAAUGUGGCACUUAGUGUGCGGGGCAAUCAAAUAUGGUACUCAGUGUACGAAAUAUUGAGAAUGGCACUUAGUGUGCGAGAUAUUGAAAAUGACACUUAGUGUGCAAAAUAUCGAAUGAUUCAAAGGGAAAUUAUAAAUUGUGAUUGAAUGAUUAAAUAGAACAAAGUGAACAGGUAUACAUGCUAUAUUAUAUGAAUUGUUUAUGAGACGACUUUAUAAUGGUGAUAUUUGGGCUUUGAGCCUAGCAAGCUUUAAGCUGGUGAAUAAUAUUAUCGGGUUUAAAACCUAGCAGGCUAAAUGCCGGUGAUUUGAUAAAAGUCUAAGACUAUGAGACCUUGUGUUAAAUCGACAAUUGAAUUUGUUCAAUGCAUUAAGUUGGCCAGGUAUGUGAUAUAUUCUUAUGCAUGUUAGAUCGAUUGGAAUUGAAUCAUGAAUGUGAAAUGAGAAGCAUAGGUCAAAAUGCCUAUGUCAUAUAUGUGAGUAAGGGCAAAACCAUCGUAAAUUAUCGAUAAGGGUGGACUAUGUGCGGAAUCAUCUUAUAAUUGCUAAUUUGAACGAUUGUGUGCGAAUCAUUGAGCAUGAUGUAUUGUAUUGAGAUUAUGCUUGAGUGAAAUUAUAGAUAUGUGAUGAAAUUGAUUGGUAAUAUACAUGUUUAAAUAAUGUGAAUGCAAAGAAUGUGUGAAAGAGUAAAUUUGUAAUAAAUCUGCUUGGGACAGCAGCAGUAACGUGAUUUUGGAAAAUCAC
rnacentral:lncRNA from 1 species